rnacentral:rRNA from 1 species
GAUGAACGCUGGCGGCGUGCCUAAUACAUGCAAGUCGAGCGGCAGCGGAAAGUAGCUUGCUACUUUGCCGGCGAGCGGCGGACGGGUGAGUAAUGUCUGGGAAACUGCCUGAUGGAGGGGGAUAACUACUGGAAACGGUAGCUAAUACCGCAUAACGUCGCAAGACCAAAGAGGGGGACCUUCGGGCCUCUUGCCAUCAGAUGUGCCCAGAUGGGAUUAGCUAGUAGGUGGGGUAACGGCUCACCUAGGCGACGAUCCCUAGCUGGUCUGAGAGGAUGACCAGCCACACUGGAACUGAGACACGGUCCAGACUCCUACGGGAGGCAGCAGUGGGGAAUAUUGCACAAUGGGCGCAAGCCUGAUGCAGCCAUGCCGCGUGUAUGAAGAGGGCCUUCGGGUUGUAAAGUACUUUCAGCGGGGAGGAAGGCGAUAAGGUUAAUAACCUUGUCGAUUGACGUUACCCGCAGAAGAAGCACCGGCUAACUCCGUGCCAGCAGCCGCCGUAA